CCCUGCUGGUUUUAACUCACACUGGGUUGGGGGCCAUGAGCCAAGGACUGUAAAGAGCGGGAUCGUGAUGUGAAAUGGUGCCUGGUCUGCUGGGGCCAGCACAGGAACGGAAACGUGGAAACGCGGGUCUCCAGCCAUCUAGCUUCCGCAGGCCCCGUGUUCUUCCCUUCA
rnacentral:lncRNA from 1 species